rnacentral:rRNA from 1 species
GAUGAACGCUGGCGGCGUGCUUAACACAUGCAAGUCGAGCGAACAGACCCUGCUUUUGUGGGGUGCUCGUGUGGCGCACGCGGGAGUGAAACGCGUGUAAACUGCACUUAUCUUUGUGAUAUAAUCAGGGAAAAGCGGCUAUUAUACGGUAGGAGAUCUUGAUCCAUGGUGUGGGUUGGUAAGUUACGGCGGUGUGGGAUGGACUGGCGGGUUAUCCGCUUGCUGGUGUGGUAGUUGCGUACCAAGGUUGUGAAGGGUAGCCGGCAUUGGAGGGUUAACGGCGACAUUGGGACUGAGGUAGGGCCCAGACGGCUACGGGAGGCAGCAGUGGGGAAUAUUGCACAAUGGGCGGAAGCCUGAUGCAGCAACGCCGCGUGCGUGAUGACGGCUUACGGGUUAUAAACCGCUUUCGCCGGUGACGAAGCGGGAUUGACGGUAAUUGGUCAAGAAGCACCGGCUAACUACGUG